UGUUCCACUUCUACAAAAACCCCGUGAGUCCAGAUCAUAUCCCACUCUGUUUGUUUUUACAUGAAUCGUAAUUUGCAGCGCCGUCAAUCCUUAUCAUCUGAUUAAUAUUUUUAAUAUGGUUAAUUAAUUAUGCUAGUGAUGCUUAAGAAUUAAGAUCACGUGUUUAACGUCUCAAAGGAAUGAUUUUGAUGUUAGUAAAUAAUAA
rnacentral:misc_RNA from 1 species